GGUAGCAUACCGCUGACGACCGGCGCACGGGUGAGUAACACGUAUCCAACCUACCAUCCUUACGGGGAUAGCCUUUCGAAAGAAAGAUUAAUACCCGAUCGUAUAGCGAUAAGGCAUCUUAUUGCUAUUAAAGAAUUUCGGUGUUUGAUGGGGAUGCGUUCCAUUAGAUUGUUGGUGAGGUAACGGCUCACCAAGUCUUCGAUGGAUAGGGGUUCUGAGAGGAAGGUCCCCCACAUUGGAACUGAGACACGGUCCAAACUCCUACGGGAGGCAGCAGUGAGGAAUAUUGGUCAAUGGACGAGAGUCUGAACCAGCCAAGUAGCGUGAAGGAUGAAGGCCCUAUGGGUCGUAAACUUCUUUUAUAGGGGAAUAAAGUGCGGAACGUGUUCCGUUUUGUAUGUACCCUACGAAUAAGGAUCGGCUAACUCCGUGCCAGCAGCCGCGGUAAUACGGAGGAUCCGAGCGUUAUCCGGAUUUAUUGGGUUUAAAGGGAGCGUAGGUGGACGUAUAAGUCAGUUGUGAAAGUUUGCGGCUCAACCGUAAAAUUGCAGUUGAUACUGUAUGUCUUGAGUGUACAAGAGGUGGGCGGAAUUCGUGGUGUAGCGGUGAAAUGCUUAGAUAUCACGAAGAACUCCGAUUGAAGGGCGAAUUC
rnacentral:rRNA from 1 species